AAUGAACGCUGGCGGCGUGCCUAACACAUGCAAGUCGGAUGUGCCCGCAAGGGUGCAUGGCAGACGGGUGAGUAACGCGUGGGGAAUCUACCUUUUAGUGGGGAAUAACGCUCCGAAAGGAGUGGUAAUACCGCAUGUGACCAUUGGCUGGAAUGCUGGUGGUGAAACCCUGGGACCUUCGGGCCAGGGGCUAAAAGAGGAUCCUGCGUCUGAUUAGCUAGUUGGCGGGGUAACGGCCCACCAAGGCGACGAUCAGUAGCCGGCCUGAGA
rnacentral:rRNA from 1 species